AUUGAGCGCUGGCGGCAGGCCUAACACAUGCAAGUCGAACGGUAACAGAAAGCAGCUUGCUGCUUUGCUGACGAGUGGCGGACGGGUGAGUAAUGUCUGGGAAACUGCCUGAUGGAGGGGGAUAACUACUGGAAACGGUAGCUAAUACCGCAUAACGUCGCAAGACCAAAGAGGGGGACCUUCGGGCCUCUUGCCAUCGGCUGUGCCCAGAUGGGAUUAGCUAGUAGGUGGGGUAACGGCUCACCUAGGCGACGAUCCCUAGCUGGUCUGAGAGGAUGACCAGCCACACUGGAACUGAGACACGGUCCAGACUCCUACGGGAGGCAGCAGUGGGGAAUAUUGCACAAUGGGCGCAAGCCUGAUGCAGCCAUGCCGCGUGUAUGAAGAAGGCCUUCGGGUUGUAAAGUACUUUCAGCGGGGAGGAAGGGAGUAAAGUUAAUACCUUUGCUCAUUGACGUUACCCGCAGAAGAAGCACCGGCUAACUCCGUG
rnacentral:rRNA from 1 species